rnacentral:rRNA from 1 species
GUGAGGAAUAUUGGUCAAUGGGCGAGAGCCUGAACCAGCCAAGUAGCGUGAGGGAUGACUGCCCUAUGGGUUGUAAACCUCUUUUGCAGGGGGGUAAAGUGGUUCACGUGUGGACCAUUGCAAGUACCCUGCGAAUAAGGAUCGGCUAACUCCGUGCCAGCAGCCGCAGUAAUACGGAGGAUCCGAGCGUUAUCCGGAUUUAUUGGGUUUAAAGGGAGCGUAGGCGGGGGGUUAAGUCAGCUGUGAAAUGCCGUGGCCCAACCAUGGAACUGCAGUUGAAACUGGACCUCUUGAGAGUACAUAAGGAAGGCGGAAUUCGUGGUGUAGCGGUGAAAUGCAUAGAUAUCACGAAGAACUCCGAUUGCGAAGGCAGCUUUCCGGGGUACAUCUGACGCUGAAGCUCGAAAGUGCGGGAAUCAAACAGGAUUAGAUACCCUGGUAGUCC